rnacentral:rRNA from 1 species
GACGAACGCUGGCGGCGUGCCUAAUACAUGCAAGUAGAACGCACAGUUUAUACCGUAGCUUGCUACACCAUACACUGUGAGUUGCGAACGGGUGAGUAACGCGUAGGUAACCUGCCUGGUAGCGGGGGAUAACUAUUGGAAACGAUAGCUAAUACCGCAUAAUAUUGAUUAUUGCAUGAUAAUUGAUUGAAAGAUGCUAUUGCAUCACUACCAGAUGGACCUGCGUUGUAUUAGCUAGUAGGUGAGGUAACGGCUCACCUAGGCGACGAUACAUAGCCGACCUGAGAGGGUGAUCGGCCACACUGGGACUGAGACACGGCCCAGACUCCUACGGGAGGCAGCAGUAGGGAAUCUUCGGCAAUGGACGAAAGUCUGACCGAGCAACGCCGCGUGAGUGAAGAAGGUUUUCGGAUCGUAAAGCUCUGUUGUAAGAGAAGAACGGGUGUGAGAGUGGAAAGUUCACACUGUGACGGUAUCUUACCGGAAAGGGACGGCUAACUACGUG